rnacentral:rRNA from 1 species
UACGAGGGGGGCAAGCGUUGUUCGGAAUUAUUGGGCGUAAAGGGCGCGUAGGCGGUGCGGUAAGUCACCUGUGAAACCUCUAGGCUUAACCUAGAGCCUGCAGGCGAAACUGCCGUGCUUGAGGGUGGGAGAGGUGCGUGGAAUUCUCGGUGUAGCGGUGAAAUGCGUAGAUAUCGAGAGGAACACCUGCGGCGAAGGCGGGUUGCUGGGCUGACACUGACGCUGAUGCGCGAAAGCCAGGGAGCGAAGCGGG